CCGGCACGGGUGAGUAACACGUAUCCAACCUGCCGUCUACUCUUGGCCAGCCUUCUGAAAGGAAGAUUAAUCCAGGAUGGCAUCAUGAGUUCACAUGUCCGCAUGAUUAAAGGUAUUUUCCGGUAGACGAUGGGAUGCGUUCCAUUAGAUAGUAGGCGGGGUAACGGCCCACCUAGUCAACGAUGGAUAGGGGUUCUGAGAGGAAGGUCCCCCACAUUGGAACUGAGACACGGUCCAA
rnacentral:rRNA from 1 species